GUCCCAGUCGGCACCAACCAAACCCUGUCAGUACCUAUCAGCUGAUCGGAUCGUGCAGUAUGUUCUUCGUCCAACGCUGCUUCCGCGUGCCGUCCGCCAUCUUUUACUGCACCAACCCCCCUCCUCCAACUGUUUCAGUUUUUGAGCGCAUCCCCAAAGGAUGAGUCCAAGUUGUUUCAUUCCUUUUCUUUAAUUUUCCUUCUUUUCUUCCCCUCGUCGUCAUCGCCCGUCAAAAACCCUCAUCCAUUCUUUCGCUUUCACCCUUUGAUUGGGUCACUGCUGAACUCAUCAAAGAUCCAAUCGCCUCCUAGAAGACGUAGAUGAGAUCCUUUCUUCCAGAUGCUACCGGAAAUUUGAGAAGUUUUUGAUCUUGAUCUCGCCGAGAUGGAGUCUCCUCACGUGAAGCUGGAGCUCAGCGGGGCAGAAAUCUUUGGGAAUCUCGAUGAGCGAAACCCUCCAGUUCGUCUCCCCAAUCAGCCAUCUGAUGCCUCUCUGCUAGCACUCGACAUUGGAGGAACUUUAAUCAAAUUAGUUUAUUUUUCGGACGGCAAUGAGGGUAAUGAGCAGAUUGGAAGUGGUAAUGCAGCUCUUGGUGGCGAGUUACGUUUUGUGAAGUUUGAAAGGAGACGUCUUGAUGAUUGCUUGGAGUUCAUUAAAUCCAAGAAGCUUAUUCAUAGCAGCGCUAUAGUUUUAUAGCAAUGACCCAAUGGAAGGAAGCAAGAAGAACGUGACAAAGAAGAAGAAGAAGAAGAAGAAGGUGAUACAAAUUGUAGCUCUUAACUGUAGACCAACUACAGACAUCUCCAAGCAACUCUUAAGCAUGAUGAUAUCAUAUGGCAAGGAGAAGGUGCAAGCCUUGUAAUGGAAUUGUUACUGGUCUAUCUGAUGGGCAUUUGACAAUAAAGGCCACAGGUGGAGGGGCAUAUAAAUUUACUGAUGUGUUUAAAGAAAAGCUAGGUGUUUCUCUUGAUAAGCUGGAUGAGAUGGAUGGUGUUGUAGCUGGAGCAAACCUUUUGCUGAAGAAAAUCCCUGGUGAAUCCUUUACACACAUGGAUGGAAAAAGGACUCCUAUAGAAAUUAAUCGAAAGAACUUAUUUCCAUAUCUUCUUGUCAAUAUCGGUUCGGGUGUCAGCAUAAUAAAGGUUACUGGAAACAAGAAAUUUGAACGGGUAACUGGGACGCAUAUUGGUGGUGGCACAAUGUUUGGUCUAGCAAAACUUUUAACAGGUUGCACAAGUUAUGAUGAAUUCUUGAAAUUGAGUCAGCAAGGGGAUAAUCUUGUGCUCGAUUUAAUUGUGAAAGAUAUUUGCGGAGAAUUAGCUUGCCAAAAGCAAGGGCUUUCAGCAUCAACCCUCGCCUCUAGCUUUGGAAAGGUGAUAAAUUCUAAAAGGAAGCUCUCAGAUUACAGAGCUGAGGAUCUUGCUACUACAUUGUUGAGUGCUUUUACUUAUAACAUUGCACAAAUCUCUUUCCUUGUUGCAGCACUCUUAGGGCUCAAAAGGGUCUUUUUUGGAGGAUCAUACAUUCGUGGCCAUGCUAGUACAAUGGACAACAUUUCAUAUGCAAUUGACUAUUGGUCCAAAGGUCAAAUGCAAGCAAUAUUUUUGCGCCAUGAGGGGUUUUUAGGUGCUCUAGGUGCAUUAAUGAGCUAUGAAAAUCUUGAUGUUGAUGACUUGACACUUGAAGAUACAAAAGAGCAAGUGAAGCUGGAAAUUUGCCAUGAAAGUUCCAAAAUUCCUGAUGGAAUGUUGAUGACUGAACAUCACGAAAACAACAUAUUUCCAUAUCUUCUUGUCAACAUUGGCUCAGGUGUUAGCAUGGUUGAGGUGAUUGGCAAGGGGAAGUUUGAGCGUAUCAUUGGGACACAUCUAGGUGGUGGUACUAUUCUUGGUCUUGCACGGCUGUUAACAGGGUGUACAAGUUAUGAAGAGUUCCUGGAGUUGAGCCAGCAAGGAAAUAAUCUAGCUGUGGACUUGACCGUGGGGGAUAUAUAUGGAGAGCUAGGUUAUCCGAAGCAUGGCCUUCCAGCAUCUACAACUGCUUCCAGCUUUGGAAAGGUAAGUUCAAACAAGCUUUCAGACUACAAAGCAGAGGAUCUUGCUGCAGCUCUCUUGAAUGCUUUCACAUACAAUAUUGGACAAAUCUCCUACUUUGUCGCAAAUCUUUCAGGGCUGAAGAAAAUCUUUUUCCGAGGAGCUUACAUAUGUGGUCAUACAAAGACAAUUGACAAGAUUUCUCGUUCACUUAAAUAUUGGUCAAAAGGCCAAGUACAGACAACAUUUCUAUGCCAUGAAGGGUUUUUAGAAGCUUUAGGGGCAUUUUGGAGUUACGAGAACAUGGGUAUUGAUGACCUGGCAGCACAGGAGGUCAUACAACAAGUCUUGCUAGGUUCCCCUUAUACAGGAGGGAAAGCUUCUUUACCAUUAAGACAGUUAUAUGAAAGCAAUGACGAGAACUUUAACGUGGAAAUUGAGAAGUUGCAACAUGACAAUGCAGAGCUCAAGCAUGAAGUAGAAAGAUUGCGACGUGAAAAUGAAGAGCUUAAGGCUAAGCUAGAGAAGUCGAGAGAUGACUAACGUUAGACAAGAGUUGAUAUCUGCCAAAUACACUGCAUCAAUUUGAGCUUCAACAGGAACGAAAUCCUAUGCACCACUGGUGUCCAAGGCUUCCGCACUGCCACAAUCGCUUGAUAUUAAUACAGCUAGAAUGCAAAUGGUGGCUGAAGGCCGUUCUAUGUUUUUGUAAAUCGAUGUUGCAAUCAUGAGGAUGUUAUUAUAUUGUAAUAAAAAUGUAAUAAAUUCGGGUAGAUGGACAUAAUUCAAAAAUCAAAUGGGAUACAGAAUAUUCUUCUUUUCUCUUUUUAUUUUCAAACAAAAUAGUCCAUCGAUAUAUGUACACCCCAAUCUAUAAUUCAAGAUUCUAUCUUGCGCAUUGCAAUUA